rnacentral:rRNA from 1 species
UACGUAGGGUGGCAAGCGUUGUCCGGAAUUAUUGGGCGUAAAGAGCUCGUAGGCGGUCUGUCGCGUCGGCUGUGAAACCCGAGGCUCAACCUCGGGCCUGCAGUCGAUACGGGCAAACUAGAGUACUGCAGGGGAGACUGGAAUUCCUGGUGUAGCGGUGAAAUGCGCAGAUAUCAGGAGGAACACCGGUGGCGAAGGCGGGGUCUCUGGGCAGUAACUGACGCUGGAGGAGCGAAAGCGUGGGGAGCGAACAGG